AUGCAGCACAUCAUCAUUGGCUGCCCAUUUUCUCGGCAAAUAUGGCAUGACGUGCUUGCUUGGGUGCGUGCUACCACCCCCCCCCCAUCCGGAGAGGAGGACUUCCUCCCUUGGUGCAUGGCGGCCCUCGCUGGAUCCCCUGCUGACCUUCGCAAGGGCCUUGCCACGCUCGCAACGCUCACGGCGUAGUCCAUCUGGAAACACCGCAACUGCUGCGUGUUCGAUGGUGAUACCCCCUCCAUCUCGAGGCUAUUUGCGUCUAUCCAGGACAAAGCUAGAACCUGGGCCAGGGCAGGCGCUCGAGGACUAAAUCUUCUGCUAGCAUAG
rnacentral:rRNA from 1 species